AUAACUUUCAUUAACAAAUUUCAAAUUUUUUAAUCAUUAUAAUUCACUGUUUCUUUCAGUCAUAAUCGCAGAAUUCUCUUUUAAAAUUUUUAAUCUUCUUAAUUUUUUACAAAAUAUUAAGAAGUCCUACAACAAUUCUCCAAUUCGAAAUUUUCUUUAUUUAUAAUCCCAACAUUUGCAAUUUUUUAAUAAUUUUUCUUUUUCAAACUUUCAUAUUAUCCCUAUCAAUAUCUUCUUCCAAAAUCCCUUUCAACAUCGAUUCUCUAACUAAAUCUUUACAAAUAUUAAAAAAAAAAAAAAAAUUAUUCAAUCAAAAUUCUAAUAAUUUCCUCUCCUCUCGAAUCUCUAUCUACAAAUUAAACGAAAUCAAAAAUAAAAAAUUUUUUUCCAAAAAUUUCAACAAAACGAGUGCAUUCCAACAAAGUGCACAGCCAGAGUUGGACAUUGACUCAUCGAAAAAGUAACUAAUUAAAAUUUUCGAAUAAAAUUACUUUAAUCGUAAUCACUUAUUAAAAUGUUUGAACUACAUUUAUUCGUAGCUAUUAUAAUCGAUUCGUUUUUCGUUAUUCAAAUUAUUAAAUUUAUUCUGCCCAUCGCUGUGCACAGCCUUCCAGCACGCAAGUGCACGCUCCCCGUCUCUCGUCUGUUAGACACCAACGUUUCCACGGAGAGUAGGUGCAACGCGGAAGCAUCGUCUAGCAUUCCAAGCUCGCUAAUAACCCGGCGGCGGGUCAUUAUUCUAGAGAAGGAGGUGACGGCGGUCGCCACGCAGUUUCCCACUCAAAAUGAAAAACCCGAACGCGAACACGUGGAGGGGAUGAUGCAUGCAGAGGCUACUUUCAGUGGCCGACGACUUCAGUGUACGUUGGUGGGGUUGGACUCUCGUGUCUCACGCACGCACACUCUCUACCCCGAGCUUAGUCUAGCCUUAAUAGUCAUCCACUGGAAGCCGGAGACGAUCGAAUCUGUCCUCCGCCACAAUCACGCGUCCGUCUUCUCUGAAUUUUCCAUCGUUUUCAUCUUCGAUCGUCGAUCGUUCAAGGUUCGGUGAAUACGUUCGAAGAAAUAUCGUGCGGUGUUUCAGUGAUAUACGGAGGGUGAAUUACUUAGUGCUUAGUUAGUUUCGUUGUAUCAACAUUCGGUCUUGUUGACAGCUGGCUGCCUUCGAUCGGAUCGCAUCGGUUUGUUCUCGAGACGAACUCGAGAGAGAAAGAGAGAGAGAGAGAGAGAGUUGGUUCGAUCGAAGUGCAGCCGCGAUUGAACUGGACACGUCUAACUCUUUGCUCGGAUCGAGCGUCGCGAAGGUGGUGUGCUAGUUUUUUUUUUUUUUAAUUCAUUCGAGAAUUUUGUGAUUUCGAGAUUUUCGAAUAUAUACAAUUAUACGUUGUAUAAUCUUGGUAGAAAAGUGAAGAAAAAAGAGAGACUCGCCGGGUGGAAAUAUACAAGUGGUGGUUCUUCUCGUUCUUUCUGUGUAUUUGUUAAAUUUUUAAUUUAUGGGUGAUAUAUAUAUAUAAUAUAUUCUUGUGAUAAUAAUUAUUCGCAAUUGAGAUUCGUUUUUUUUUUUGAGGAGCGUGAUUCAUGAUAUAGGUGGGCAAAACAAUGGUUGUUUAUUAUGCCGAGUCUCGUUCCUCGGUUGACACGUGAUGACGGAUGGAGUGAUACAAUAACGCUACGAUUUAACGGAUGACACACGGAAAUUUAUUCGAUGAAUCAUUCGAUUGGAGUGGUCAUGUACAGAAAUAAAAAUAAAAUCAACGUUUAGCGAGACGUGGUUGUCCCUGACCUUCUUCUUUCCCUCGUUCACGCUAAUUUCAUUCAAUUUCUAUUAAUCUCUUUUAUGUAUAACAAUGUAUAUUUCUAAAAAUUUAUGUUUAAUUCAACAGUGUAUCAAGGGAUAUAACAUAUCGAUUUAUAAUAUAUUAUAAUUAUAUAUUUAAAUUCCUAUUAAUUCUUAUUACUAUUUACAAAAAUUUAUUAAGUUAUAGAAAAAUGUAUGUAUUCUUAUAUUUAAAGAUAUAGAUUAAGUUAUCUAGGAUAAAAUUCUACAGUAUAUAUAUACAUAUCUUUAUUAUUUAUUACUACAAUUGUCAAAAAUUUUUUCCAAUACUUUUUUCAAAACGAUUGCCUACUUUAAAAUUCCUUCCAAUCAUAUCCCGCUAAAAGUUAAUUCCUCGAGGCGAGAAUCGAGCCGAUAUAUUUCACCGAUGUAUCGUCGAAAAUAAUAAAAAAAAAAAUACAAGUUCAAAGUCGAGGUAACGAUAACAAGGGA